rnacentral:tRNA from 17 species
GGAGAGUUGUCCGAGCUGGCCGAAGGAGCAGCAUUGGAAAUGCUGUAUACGGGUUAAAGCCUGUAUCAAGGGUUCGAAUCCCUUACUCUCCG